rnacentral:rRNA from 1 species
ACGAAGUAGUAGGGCAACUUGCUACUUAGUGGCGGAAGGGUUAGUAAUACAUGAAUAACCUGCCUUUAACCUGGGAAUAACGACUGGAAACGGUCGUUAAUACCGAAUGAGGUGUCGAUGGCGAGUGCCAAUGACAUCAAAGUAGGGGAUCUCGAAAGCGACCUUGCGGUUAAUGAGGGGUUCAUGGGAUAUCAGCUAGUUGGUGUGGUAACGGCGCACCAAGGCU